AGCUCAGUAGUCUAGUGGUUAUGGCGCCAGGCUAUUUAUCUGGAGGUCGUGGGUUCGAUUCCCACCCGAAUCA